rnacentral:lncRNA from 1 species
CCCCCCCCCCAACACACACAUGGUGUUGCAGUCUCUGCUUACACCUAGCUCUUGGGUGACUGAAACCUUCAGAUAGGUUGGGUCCUGACUUUAGCCAGGCUUUUAUUAUUUGCGAGUUUGUUUUUUGCAGUGCCACGGUAAAACAUUCACUGAGGCCCUUGCCGAGGACACCAUCUGUCCUGGGGUGAGGACGUGUUUCUGAUGGCACAGCAGAAGCCUUCUGCCCUCCAAGCUCCUGGCUCUCCCACAGCCCUCUUGCAACCAGAGAACUUGGAGCAUCAGGGGACUACGAGCUUCCCAAAGAAAUAGCCCCCACCUCAGCCUG